GACGUAGGUGGCGAACGUUAUCCGGAAUCAUUGGGCGUAAAGGGUGCGUAGAUGGCCUGAUAAGUUAGCAGUGGGAAAUCGAGGCUCAACCUCGUGGAAGCUGGUAAUACUGUCAGGCUCGGGUGCAGGAGAGGUUAACGGAACUCCAUGUGGAGCGGUAAAAUGUGUAGAUAUAUGGAAGAACAUCAAUAACGGCGAAGGCAGUUAACUAUUCUGUUACUGACGUUGAGGCACGAAAGCAUGGGGAGCAAAACGG
rnacentral:rRNA from 1 species